rfam:Mycoplasma fermentans PG18 DNA, nearly complete genome.
UCCAGUGGUUAUAGCGAAGGGGACCCACCUGAUUCCAUUCCGAACUCAGUAGUUAAGCCCUUUAGUGCCGACGAUACCAGAGAUGGGAAAAUAGGGAGCUGCUAUUU